rnacentral:lncRNA from 1 species
AUUUAUCAAAUUAUUAUGAGUUAUGGAUGUUUUACCACGUGGUUUUAAUGUUUUUGUUAGGGGUAGAAACUGAUGAAAAAUGACUGCAAACGAGCCAAAGAAGUGGUACCAUGGGCCCGGGCCUCGACCAGAAAGAAACCCAAUUUUAUAAUAAUUUCUGGGCCCAACACGUCUCAUAUUGUUCCCUAAAUUCUAGAAGUUAUAAACAACACAGACAAGACCUAAUUGAAGGGGAGAGCCGCAUAACAUAAAAUCUAUGGGAGUCAGCCACGAAGGAAGAUUGGAGACAGCAAAAAAAAUUGAGAGGAAAACUAUGGACUGCUGAGGCGAAUUGGAAAGGAAUUAGAAUAUAUAUAUAUAUAUAUAUAUAUAUAUAUAUAUAUAUAUAUAUAUAUAUAUAUAUAUAUAUACCUCAAUCGGCAAGAAGAGAAGAAUCUGGGGGAUUGAGCCAACAACUUGAAGUGGAGCCUAAUUGAAAAAAUUUCAGCCGGCAAAUACAAAAUAGUGGACAAUAUGGACACAUUAAGAAGCUGGACGGCUGGAAUUGUUUUGAAGAAAGCUCUACACAAACUCCAAGAAACAAGUGAAAGGCGUGGAAAACUCAAGGGAGAAUUCGAUUAACUUAAUCUUUCUUUCUUGCUUCUUUAUGUUUUCCAUUAUAAAUUGUAAAAUUGAUGAGGGAGUUUGAAGUACUUUAGGGGAUAACAUUGCGGCCGCCAUUAAUAUACACGUGAAAGCUUAGAAAUUGAGGGAAAUUACUUGGGGCUGCAACAGCAAUAUUAUAUUUGGAGACAAAUUGGAGGCACUUGAGAGUCCCUUUUCAAGUCAAUUAUUUAGGCUGUUGGGGAGGAAUUUGGCUGCCUUGCUGCUGAAAUUAUUUGUAUAAACACAAGAAAUCGAAGCAGAGGAAGCAGACACGUAAACGGUUGCAGUAAAAUUGAAACUAAUUGAAGGAAAUUGGCAACUUUGGGAAGAAAUCACGCUGCAAUCAAUUAGUUUUUCUUAUCCCUUUCUUCUCAUGUUCAUGCUUUAUAAUUUAAUUAUGUCAAUUCUUUCAAUUAUGGAUUAAACUUUAAUCCUAGGGUUGAUGUAGCCUGCUUUAGACAUGUUUUAAUUUCGUUUUAAUUAUUUCAAUUAAUCUUUCCAUUUAUUUAUUUGUGUUGUUGUGCGCAAUGCUUUCAAUUAACUGGCCACUAAUUGCUUGAUUUGGUGUUCUGAAUUUUGGCGCUCGAGAGAGGCAAAUUUAGGCGUGAUCUAAGACAACAUGACCUAGAUUUUGUAGGUUUCGAGAGAAAGUGCGAAUCUUUGAGGCAUGUUUUAAUUAAGAAUCACGUGCUUGAUAAUUUUUAUGUUUUAAUUCGGAAUAGAGAUAUUGGAAUUAGAAUAUAGAAAUAGAUUUUAUUUGGUGCUCGAGAGAGGGAAAUAGAAUCACUUUAGUGUUCUUGCCUAUAAAUUUUGGAAAGAUCGAUAGAAAUAGUUAUACGGGUGAAAAACAUUGUCGAAGGUAUGGUGAAAUCAUUCCCUAGGUAUUCAAAAUUUGAUAAGAAACUUCAUAAUUUGCUCCCAUUUACUUGCGUUGUUCAGUCCAUUUAUUUUAAUUUAAUUUAAAAAUAUCGUUUCUCAUUUUGAUCGUCUAAAUAAAGUGAGGGCUAAAAUAAUUAUAGUACUAAAUUAAUUCGAAUAUCAAUCCCUGUGGGUUCGACAUCCUUCUUCAAAACUAUAUUACAAAACUUGACACCGUACACUUGAGGUAUAAAAUCACGUUGCAUAAAUCGUGUGGCAAGCUUUUGGAGCCAUUGCCGGAGAUUGAUUUAUUCGAAUUCAAUUGAUAUUAUUAUCAAUCAGCAUUCAUUUUACUCUAUAUUUUUAUUUUUACCAUAAUUUUUAUUUUAAGUUACUCUUUUUGUGUCUAUCUUUAAAAGCCUCCUUAUGAUUAUUUUCAGCUGUUUAUGCGAAGGGCGAGAAAUCUAGAUCUACUACCUGUUGAUCCUGAACCAAAACGCACAUUUCGCAUUCUCAGAGGCAUGCAAAGAAACAAACGGGAAGCAAUGGCAGAACAGGAUGCUAGAGUAGCCAAUGAGGAUAACCAACAAAGGGCUAUUCGGGACUACAUAAGCCUGGUUGUCAAUGACAACUAUUCUGGCAUCACACACCCAGCAAUUGCUGCAAACAUUUUCGAAUUGAAGCCAGGGUUGAUACAUAUGGUGCAGCAAAAUCAGUUUGGGGAUGCUGCAAUAGAAGAUCCAAAUGCUCAUCUUGGAUCCUUUUUGGAAAUUUGUGAUACGGUGAAGAUGAAUGGGGUUACUGAAGAUGCAAUUAGACUCCACCUAUUCUCAUUCUCUUUAAGGGAUAAAGCAAAGGCUUGGUUCCAAUCACUACCAUAUGGCUCAAUUACAACUUGGGAUGAUUUGGCUUAGAAAUUCCUCACCAAGUACUUUCCACCUUCUAAAUCAGCUCAACUUGGCGGUGAAAUAAGCCAAUUCAAACAACUCGACUUCGAGCCAUUCUAUGAAGCCUGGGAAAGAUUUAAAGACUUGCUUAGGAGAUGUCCUCAACAUGGGUUCCAGAAAUGGGUGCAAAUUGAGAUAUUUUAUAAUGGGCUAAAUGGCCAGACAAGGACUAUGGUAGAUGCAGCUGCGGGAGGCAUUUUAAUGGCUAAAACAGCAGAGGCUGCAUAUGCUUUAUUGGAUGACAUAGCCACUAACAGUUACCAAUGGCCAAGUGAGAGAUCGGGUGUAAAGAAAGUAGCAGGACUUCAUGAAGUGGAUCCCAUCACUGCACUAGCAGCUCAGGUUGCAUCACUCACAAAUCAGAUAGUCACACUUACCACUCAAGGAAGUCAACAGAAGGUAGAUUCAGUCAUGAGUACUUCUUCUUCACACCAAGAGACAGAGGUUGCAAACGAUCAGGCCCAAUAUGUCAACAGUAGAAACUACAAUCAAAGAGGAAGCUACCAAGCUAACCACUAUCAUCUAGGGCUGAGGAAUCACGAGAACUUGUCAUAUGGCAACAAUAGAAAUACACUUCAACCUCCACCCGGAUUCAACACUCAGAAUUCUGAUGGGAAACCACCAUUGGAAGACAUCCUUGGGACAUUCAUUUCUGAGACAAGAUUGCGCUUCAACAAAGAUGAAUCACGUUUGGAUAAUAUUGACACACAUGUGUCCAACAUGGGAGCCACAAUGAAGAAUCUUGAAGUGCAAAUUGACCAAUUGGCUACCUCAAUGAAAUCUCAGCAAAAAGGAAAAUUUCCAAGUGAUACAGAGGUCAAUCCAAAGGAGCACUGUAAAGCUAUUGUAUUAAGGAGUGGCAAGCAAGUUGGAGAAAGUGAACUCACUGAAGAUAGCAACCCCACACCUGAUAAGGAGAAAGAACAAGUAGUAGAAGAGCAAGAAAAGUAGGCCAAAGGAACAAAUAAGGCCCACAAACCUUACUCUAUAUCCUUCCCUGACAACCUACCAAUUCUCACACCACCACUUCCAUUUCCACAGCGUUUUCAAAAGAAAAAAUUUGAUAAUCAAUUUGCAAGAUUUUUAGAAAUUUUCAAGAAAAUUCACAUUAAUAUUCCUUUUGCAGAUACUUUGGAACAAAUGCCAAAUUACGCAAAGUUUAUGAAUCAAGUGAUGUCAAAGAAGCGAAAAUUGGAGAAAUAUGAAACAAUAAAAUUGACAGAAGAAUGCAGCGCUAUUCUUCAAAAGAAACUUCCUCAGAACAGAAAAGAUCCGGGCAGCUUCACUAUUCCGUGCACCAUUGGAAGCUCUUCCUUCGAAAAGGCCCUUUGUGAUCUAGGAGCAAGCAUCAAUUUAAUGCCGUUAUCAGUAUUCAAGAAGUUAGGCCUCAGGGAGGUCCAGCCAACAACAGUAACUCUACAACUAACUGAUAGGUCCCUCACCUACCUACGAGGAAUUAUUGAAGACGUGUUGGUAAAGGUCGACAAAUUCAUCUUCCCAGCUGAUUUUGUGGUAUUGGAUAUGGAAGAAGAUCAGGAAAUUCCACUGAUUUUAGGCAGACCAUUUUUAGCAACUGGAAGGGCAUUAAUUGAUGUACAAGGGGGACAAUUGACAUUGAGAGUGAAUGAAGAAGAGGUGAGGUUCAACACUUACCGAGCAAUGAAGUACUCAGAUGACAAUGACACUUGCCACAGGAUUGACUUCAUUGAUUCUGCUGUGAGAGAUGAGAAAUUAUGUAUCGAAGAUCCUCUAGAGCAAUGUAUGAUGUUUAGUACAACAAAGGAUGAUAUUAGCACUUUUGGAGAGUACAUCGGAAGCAAGGAUUUGGUUGAUUACAUAUUGGCUCUUGAGUCUACAUCAGUUGUGGAAAACCCAUCACAAUGUGAGGAUAUUCAACAGUCAGAGAAAGCAGAUGACAAAGAAAGCAAUGAAAGCAGUAAGAUUGAACUGAAGCAACUACCAGAUCACCUUCUCUAUGCAUUCCUAGGGGACAAGUCUGCAUUUCCAGUAAUUAUUUCUUCAUCACUCACCAGAGACGAAGAGGAUAGAUUAUUGAAAGUGUUGAGGGAUCAUAAGGCCGCUUUGGGAUGGUCAAUAGCUGAUAUCAAGGGGAUAAGUCCUACAAUCUGCAUGCAUAAAAUCCUCAUGGAAGAGUCUUACAAGCCAUCCAUCGAACAUCAAAGAAGGUUAAACCCAGCAAUGAAAGAAGUGGUUCGAGCAGAGAUUCUAAAGCUAUUGAAGGCAGGAAUCAUUUUUGCCAUUUCAGAUAGUGAAUGGGUCGGCCCAGUGCAAGUGGUACCAAAGAAAGGAGGGAUGACAGUAGUUUAGAAUGACAACAAUGAGCUAAUUCCAAUAAGAACAGUAACUGGCUGGAGGGUGUGCAUUGAUUAUAGGAAAUUGAAUAAGGCAACUAGAAAGGACCACUUCCCACUGCCGUUCAUAGAUCAAAUGUUGGACAGAUUAGCUGGCUACUCUUACUAUUGCUUUCUUGAUGGAUAUUUGGGCUACAACCAGAUUGCUAUAGCACCAGAAGAUCAGGAAAAGACAACUUUCACCUGUCCAUAUGGAACUUUUGCUUACAGACGGAUGCCAUUCGGGUUAUGCAAUACACUGGCCACUUUUCAGAGAUGCAUGAUGGUAAUCUUUGCAGACAUGGUUGAAGAUAUCAUGGAGGUAUUUAUGGAUGACUUUUCGGUGUUCGGUACUUCUUUUGAUAACUGCCUUCAUAAUCUCUCCUUAGUGCUGCAACACUGUGAGGAAAGGAAUUUAGUUCUCAACUGGGAAAAGUGUCAUUUCAUGGUACAAGAAAGUAUUGUGCUAGGCCAUCAUGUUUCGACGAUGGGAUUGGAAGUGGAUAGAGCAAAAAUUGAUACAAUUGAAAAGCUACCACCACCCACCAAUGUCAAAGGCAUUCGAAGUUUCUUAGGGCACGUUGGAUUAUACAGGAGAUUUAUCAAAGACUUCUCAAAAGUAGUAAAACCCCUAUGUAACCUUUUGGAGAAGGACAUAACGUUCGUAUUUGAUGAAGACUGCUUACGGGCUUUUGAAACCAUAAAGGCAAAAUUAGUCACUGUCCCAGUGAUGGUAGCACCAGAUUGGGAUCAGCCAUUUGAGGUUAUGUGUGAUGCUAGUGAUUACGCAGUAGGGGUAGUUUCAGGACAAAGGCAUGAUAAGAUUUUUCGGGCAAUCCACUAUGCCAGCAAAACUCUUAAUGGAGCUCAAUUAAAUUACACAACAAUAGAGAAGGAAAUGCUGGUAGUAGUGUUUGCAUGUGACAAAUUCAAAUCUUACCUCAUUGGCACCAAAGUGAUAAUUUACACGGACCAUGCUGCAAUCCGUUAUCUCUUUCAAAAGAAGGAUGCCAAGCCACGCCUAAUUCGAUGGAUACUGCUACUACAAGAAUUUGAUGUAGAGAUUCGGGAUAAGAAAGGCAGUGAGAAUGUCGUUGCAGACCAUCUCUCAUGAUUGGAGAAUGAAAAGGUGGUGGAUGACAGUCAAAUUCGAGAAACGUUCCCCGACGAGAUCUUGCUAGCUCUAUCAACAAAGAUCCCAUGGUAUGCUGAUUUUGUUAACUAUUUAGUGUCUGGAAGAUUGCCACCUGACUUGACCUUUCAUUAAAAGAAGAAAUUCCUACAUGAUGUCAAGUCAUUUCUGUGGGAUGAUCCAAUCUUGUUCAAAAGGUGUGCUGAUAGAAUAAUUAGGCGGUGUGUCCCUGUGGAAGAAAACAUGUGACCGCUGUCAACGUACUAAAAACAUUUCAAGACAUCAUAAGCUACCAUUAACCAGUAUGCUUGAGGUGGAAUUAUUUGAUGUGUGGGGUAUUGAUUUCAUGGGUCCAUUUCCACCUUCCCUUGGUCAAGAGUAUAUUCUUCUCGCAGUAGAUUAUGUGUCUAAAUGGGUUGAAGCCAUUGCCACACCAACAAAUGAUGCAAAGGUGGUGUUGAAAUUUUUACAGAAAAACAUCUUCACUCGGUUUGGCACACCUAGAGCAAUCGUAAGCAACGGAGGUACACAUUUCUGUAACAAGCUGUUCAAUUCUCUUCUAGCUAAGUAUGAUGUCAAGCACAAGUUGGCAUUGGGUUAUCAUCCACAGUCAAAUGGGCAAGCAGAGGUGUCUAACAGAGAGAUUAAAUAGAUUCUGGAAAAGACAGUGAAUACCAAUCAGAAGGACUGGUCUCUCAAACUAGAUGACGCUCUUUGGGCAUACCAAACAGCAUUUAAAACUCCAAUUGGAAUGUCACCCUACCGUCUGGUAUUCGGGAAAGCUUGUCAUCUAUCGGUAGAAUUGGAGCAUCGAGCUUAUUGGGCUGUGAAGAAAUUGAAUUUAGACAUGAAAUUGGCUGGUCCACAACGCUUGUUGCAGCUUGAUGAAUUGGAGGAAUUUCGGAACGAUGCAUAUGAAAAUGCAAAGAUAUAUAAAGAAUGGACAAAGAUGUGGCAUGAUAAGAGAAUAUUAAGGAGGAAUUUCAAGGCAGGAGAACCAGUUCUUCUAUUCAAUUCUCGCUUGAAACUCUUUCCAGGCAAGCUCAAAUCCCGGUGGUCAGGACCAUUUGUAAUCCGCAAGGUGUUCCCUUAUGGUGCAGUGGAAUUAGUAGGCAAGGAUGGGUCUACCUUUUAGGCAAAUGGGCAAUGCCUCAAACAUUACUAUGGAGAGGAAAACUGGGAUGUGGAAGAAAUUACCCUUAAUGAACCAACUUGAAACCACAUCCACGUCUAGCUAAAGACGUAAAAGAAGCGCUUCUUGGGAGGCAACCCAAGCUUUCAUCUUUAUUUAUUUAUUUUAUUUUUGAAUUUUAGGAUAAUUUAUUUUAUUUCAGAGUUGUUAUUUAGGAAUUCAUCAACCCUACCCGUCCCUUAGAUUUUUGAAAAAUGUUUAGUUAUUGAUGUGUGAGCUAAGUACCACUUGUUCCAUGCGUUUAAUAUCUACAUUGUGAUGUUCCAGGAACAUGACGUCGUAGAUCAAUCAACAAAUAUUGACAAGGAGAGGCUGGAUACAUCUCAAGUUUGGGGGGAACGCUAGAAGAAACAUCCAUCAAAUUCAACAUUAGAGCACCAGACCGUCGUUGGCAAUUCAGAUAAUUCAAGGAAGUCCUCCACUUUUUCGGCAAUGAUUCAGAUAAUUCAGAUAACUCAUUUGUGUGAGUUAGAUAGCCUUGUCGGCAAUGAUGUGUAUUAUUGAGAGCAUGAGUUGGUUUAUGAAUUGUGGACGAGUUAUGUGUUCGAGUUAAAUUUUUGCUUAUUCAUGUGAAACGAAAAAUUAUUUUUGCACGUGAGUUGGUUGUAGCGUUGUGCAUGAGUAGGUUGAUUCAUGUUUAUAGGUUGGAAUAGAAAACUUAGAUGAUAAACCCAAAUAACCUUUAAACAUUAUUAUACCCUUAAACCAAAUAUAGGAUGUUUGGUAGAUUAAGCUGUUGUAGGAAAACUUGGAGAUAAAUGUGGAUUUCGUGUGUGCUAGUUUUUGUGUGGACUGUCUAAGACUAAUGGGAUGAAAAUUGGGUGAAAACCUUAAGUUAAAGGUCAAUUUUCGAGGAUAGGUGUUUAAUAAGGGGCAUUGCACUAAUCAUUGUAUAUAAAAAAAAAAGAUCUCAAUAAGGACAACUUUAAUAAUCUUGUUGUGAAGCAUUUCUUUCUAGCCUUUAUGACUCGAGUGAUUAAGCUUGUAAGAGUUUAAAAUCUGGUGCCCUAAAGUCAUCUGAUUUGGGAGUCAUCGGCCUAAAGCUCGCUAUAGGGGUCAUUUAGAAAGCUUAAGGGGGAGACGUCCGCACAAAGAGUGAUUAAAGAAUAAAUAGAUAUAUAUGUAAAAAAAAAAAAAGAGAAAAAGAAAAAGAAAAAAAAAAUAGAUAUCAAAUGCCUUGAUUAAGCCUCAAACACUUGUUUGAGAGAAUUAGACCUUUGAUAAGGGGUUUGUAACUUGGUUGAUUCCUAGAGGUUGAAGCAGUCAAAAAUAAGAAGAGUCCUCAUUUGUUGAUAAGUUGAACUGUAAUCAGUGAAAUCUAGCCAAACUUGAGCAGUGUAAGAUAUUAGCAUUGAAAAUUAACCUUAGAUUACACCUUGGGAAGAGAAAAGAAAACAAGUUUGGGGGUGUGUGAAUCCCACGAGCGAAGUAAGGAAAUAUUAGACUUUUAAGGUCGGGAAUUGAGUCAACUUAUUAUUGUACAACGUUGUACUUAACUCUCCACACACACACCGAUUUUGCAUUGGAUAGAUGAGAAUUUAACUUUUACAUUAUAGUUUUGAAGUGAUUCAUAAAAUUGACGCUAUGUUUUUAAUCCUAAGAUAGAAAGGCAAGGUGUCUAACAUAAUGUGUCUUUAAAUGAUUUUUUUUGUUUUAGUGUGUUGUGUGCUUGUUAAUUAUUUUCUUUGGUUUGGUGUUUGCUCGAGGACAAGCAAAAUGUUAAGUUUGGAGGUGUUUGAUGAGUGAUUCUUCACUCAUUAAAUUAAUAUCAAUUAAGCUUAUUAUUUAUCGAAUUAUUAUAAGUUAUGAAUGUUUUACCAUGUGGUUUUAAUGUUUUUGUUAGGGGUAGAUACUGAUGAAAAAGGAGUGCAAACGAGCCAAGAAAAGAAGAAGUGGUACCACGGGCCCGGGCCUCGACCAGAAAGAAACCCAAUUUUAUAAUAAUUUCUGGGCCCAACACGUCUCAUAUUGUUUCCAAAAUUCUAGAAGUUAUAAACAACACAGACAAGACCUAAUUGAAGGGGAGAGCCACAUAACAUAAAAUCUGUGGGAGUCACCCACGAAGGAAGAUUGGAGACGGCAAAAAAAAUUGAGAGAAAAACUGUGGGCUGCUGAGGCAAAUUGGAAAGGAAUUAGAAUAUAUAUAUAUAUAUAUAUAUAUAUAUAUACCUAUAUAUAUAUAUAUAUAUAUACCGGCAAGAAGAGAAGAAUCUGGGGGAUUGAGCCAACAACUUGAAGUGGAGUUUAAUUGAAAAAGAUUUCGGCCAGCAAAUACAAAAGAGUGGACAAUCUGGACACAUUAAGAAGCUGGACGGCUGGAAUUGUUUUGAAGAAAGCUCCACACAAACUCCAAGAAACAAGUGAAAGGCGUGGAAAACUCGAGGGAGAAUUCGAUUAAUUUAAUCUUUCUUUCUUGCUUCUUUAUGUUUUCCAUUAUAAAUUGUAAAAUUGAGGAAGAAGUUUGGAGUACUUUAGGGGAUAAAAUUGCAGCUGCCGUUAAUAUACACGUGAAAGCUUAGAAAUUGAGGGAAAUUACUUGGGGCUGCAACAGCAAUAUUUUAUUUGGAGACAAAUUGGAGGCACUUGAGAGUCCCUUUUCAAGUCAAUUAUUUCGGCUGUUGGGGAGGAAUUUGGCUGCCUUGCUGCUGAAAUUAUUUGUAUAAACACAAGAAACCGAAGCAGAGGAAGCAGACACAUAAACGGCUGGAGUAAAAUUGAAACUAAUUGAAGGAAAUUGGCAACUUUGGGAAGAAAUCACGCCGCAAUCAAUUAGUUUUUUCUUAUCCCUUUCUUCUCAUGUUCAUGCUUUAUAACUUAAUUAUGUCAAUUCUUUCAAUUAUGCGUUAAACUUUAAUCCUAUGGUUGAUGUAGCCUGCUUUAGACAUGUUUUAGUUCCGUUUUAAUUAUUUCAAUUAAUCUUUCCGUUUAUUUAUUUGUGUUGUGCGCAAUGCUUUCAAUUAACUGCCCACUAAUUGCUUGAUUUGGUGUUCUAUAUUUUGGCGCUCGAGAGAGGCAAAUUUAGGCGUGAUCUAAGACAACAUAACCUAGAUUUUGUAGGUUUCGAGAGAAAGUGCGAAUCUUUGAGGCAUGUUUUAAUUAAGAAUCAUGUGCUUGAUAAUUUUUAUGUUU